UUAACACAUUGAACGCCGUGGUGGUCACCGGUGACCGACGUUAGCGGAGGAUUUGCCUUCAACAGUUUUCUAUUGGCAGUCAAAGACUUAAAGAUUUUGUCAUAAUCUCCACAUAAGUGCCCUAAUGUGCACCUCUGCCUACCCCUCCGGGGAUAAAAGGCGUGACGAUACGUAGUUUUUGUUCUGUUUUAUGGUCUCCUCUGCCGAUCCCCUAAUGUGAUUACAGAUAAUUCAAGUGUGAAGUUACAGUGUCUCUUUUAAUAUCGACUUGCAAAUCGAUUAUGGCCAAAAUUAAUGACCAAUCUCGAUCACUAAAUCGAUUUUUGACAUUAGAGAUACAUGUCAUGUCAAAUUCGAUCCAGAGAAUUUGGUUAUUCAUUUUAGUCGUUAGAAAUGUUCUUAUAUCGAUCUCGACAUUUUUUAUCGAUAAACUUGACUACCUGACAUUUUUGUAAGUGCAACACUAUUUAUGUAGGGUGACUGGUAAUUAGUGAAAGAUAUUUAAACACGUGAUUGUACUCAUGAUUACAAACAACUUUCCCAAAGAAACUUUUUUUUCUUUGAAAAGCGACCCAUUAUGAUUUUCUCCUGUAUCAUGGGUGCGUUUAGAAAUAUAAAACGGCCGGUGACGCACCUGUGUGACUCCUCUGGUGUUGCGGGUGUCCAUGGGCGGCGCUGAUUGCUUACCAUCAGGUGACUCGUUUGCUUGUUUGCCACCUAUUCCAUAAAAAAAAAUACAAGUUCAUACAAAAAAAAAACGUUUCUUUGGGAAAGUUGUUUGUAAUCAUGAGUACAAUCACGUGUUUAAAUAUCGUUCACUAAUUACCAGUCAGCCUAUAUAGUCAACUAAGUGAAGGUACUUCACUAUUUUCUAAUCGAGUACCCUCGCUUUUCUCGAAGUAUUUAUUUAUAGUCGUAAAUGGUACUUUUAAAACCAUUUCAAUGCGGGUAGUUUUACAUUAUUCAUGUGGGUACUUAAUGAUAAAAAAUAGCGUUUUUUGAAGUCGCCAUUUCAUUUUUUUUUAUUAAAGUCAGGUAGUAUGCAAAACGAGAUUUGAUUUAGGGUCGGUUCAUAUCUGCCGGAACAUGCGUCGCGUAUCAUCGGUCGCGUAACGCCAGAACAGACAAAUGUAUUAGGGUCAAUUUAUACUAACGCAGAGUCGAAGCGUCUAUCCAAAACUGAACAUAACAAAUUCAACCUUAACCCCACAGCGUAACGCACACAUUACUUCGGAGAUUUUAAAAAGGCGCGCGCGCUUUAGUCUGUAUUCGCGCGUCUGCGCGCGAACAACGCUUACGCGGCGCUAGUAUAAAUUAUUGUCCCAUACGCUGUGCAGUUAAGGUUGAGUUUGCUAUGUGCAUUUUUGGAUAGACGCUUCGAUGCGCUUCGAUUCUGCGCUAGUAUAAAUCGACCCUUUUAGAAAACAAUUGACCGUUCACACUCAACCGAUGAUACGUCAGUACGACCGAUGAUACGCUCGACGUGUUUUACGUCAGAUAUGAACCGACUCUUACGCCGCUAUUAAUAGAAUCUAGUCUAGAUAUUUUUUUUGAAAAUUUAGCGAACAAAACCCAUUUUUAUAUGUCUUCGCCUGUUCUGUGUGACAAAGUCGACUUUAUGUCGUUGGAAUUAAAGUGCAAUUCGCGAUGGUUCAAAUGUUUUUUUAUAUUUACAAGUGUGUAUAUAAAGAUAUGUAUAUGUAUAGAUAUAUGUAUAUGGGUGUUUGUAAAAUGCUUAUGUAUGUAUUGUUGUUGGUUAAAGUCUAUACAAUGUGAUAGGGGCGAGACUUCUAACCCGUUAAGGCUGAAUACUACAUCUAAUUUUAACGACAAAAGUCCUGGGUCGAAGGGGUCGAAUCACCUCCCCUAAAAAUUAUGGCCAUUUUAAUAUUUUUUUUACUUUUUUUAUAUCAAAGGUUGUAUGCGUCGUAGAAACAAAAAAAGACGACAAACGGUAGCUAAUAACCUUGGCUAACUAAUUCAUUACUUUUUUCAUAUGUUUGACAAUGUUUUGGUGAGAAAAAAAUAAUUUGUGAAUAAUUCUUACCGAAAAAAUCACUAUUUUCCUAUAUUUUCAAUUAGGGGUUCAACCCCCAUAUUAUUUUUUUGUCGAUAAAAUUAGAUGUAGUACUCAGCCUUAACGGGUUAGAAGUCCCACGCCUAUCACAUUGUAUAUUCCUCUUAGGGGAUAAAAUGUACGAAAAUAUACUAUUUGGCCUGUGUACAGUUUUAGACACGUUCCUAUUGCAAUAGGGAUGAUGACGGGGUAUGAAAAUUAAAAAUCUAUUUAGUCCGUCAGUUAGGUAAUGAUAAAAUAUUAGACACGUAUUUUUUUAUUUUGUCAUUUAAGAUAACAAUAUUUAGAUAAAACGAAUCAAAGUUUAGGAGUGGGAGCGAAUACGUCAUUUCUACGUAUAAAAUGUACGUAGAAGUGACGUUACGCGAUAUUUCAAAUCGAUAUAUCUUCGAAAGUAUUUGUUUCCAUAAGAAAAUUAAAAAUACGUGUGUAAUGUUUUAAAAUAAUCUACAAGACGGACAUUAAAAUAAAAAUUAGUCAUCUACCCUAUAGGAUUAUCCUUAGAUUGGACAAAGUAUUAUUUGUUGAAUUUUCUAAUGUGAAUAUUCUAAAUAAUAACAUACGAUUCUGACAUUGAGGGCUUAUGAUGACUCCCGCGCUUUCAUCCGCAGCUCAGCUCCCAUUGAUUGUACCGUGAUGUUUUAUAGCAUAAAGCCUUCCUCAGCUAAGAAUUAACUAAAAAUCACGGUUUACUCACGUACAUUAAUGGAGAAAAGCUCUACUAGUUUCGAGUCACAGAGGGACUCUUCAUCAUGAGCAGCGUGCGCAGACGCGGCGACGUCGCGCAGCCUACUGACGCUGUAGAAGUCCCUCUGUGACUCGAAACUAGUAGAGCUUUUCUCCAUUAAUGUACGUGAGUAAACCGUGAUUUUUAGUUAAUUGUAUGUCUCACGAUAGUUAUUCAAUCCGAAACACCCGUACCGGAGAUUAGCGCGUUCAAACAAAUAAAUAAACAAAUUCCAGCUUUUGAUUUUUUACUACUAGUAGAGCCUGUCCUGGUGUCGCUUAUGUGUCAUUCAUGUAACUAUUUUAUGAAACUGAUCGUAUAUAGUAAGCAAACAUGUCGUUAAAAAACGUUAUUCUUUGAUCUCUAUAAUUAAGGUUCAAGGGUACUGCCAAGCGAUGUGAAGUGUCCAAUUGAUAGAAACUUUGAUCUCAUUAAUUGUCUUAUAUUACAGUUUCAACGGCUGAAAAAAAGAAUCGGCGUUUGUUUUUCAAAAAUUUAUUACAGUCGAUUGUCGUUAGUUCGAAAUUCAAGGGACUCCUAAAAUUAAUUACAUAUUAUGUUAUCGGCUUAUUCACGUAACGUUUUGACGAGGAACUCGACUAGUUUCAAGCCAUGCUAGAGGCUCGUGUGACGCGGAAUGCUGCUCAUGAAUAUGAGCCUCUAGCAUGGCUUGAAACUAGUCGAGUUCCUCGUCAAAACGUUACGUGAAUAAGCCGAUAACAUAAUUACACACAUAAUUAAUUUAGUAUGUCUCACGAAAGUUACUAUAAGACUCCUAAAAUGUCUUGAUUUACCGAGGUUAGAAAUAUCAAAUGGUUCGGUAAUUUAACUUGCCUAAAAAGUUACUUACUUGCUAUGUAUCUACAUCGGGUUUUAAUAGUGAUAAUGACGGGGUAUUAACAAGAAAUACAAAAGUUGUCCUUGACCAGAAAAAAAGUAGGAAACUCUUGAUAAAGAGGAAUUGCACCUAUGUCAUAUCAAGGCGUGUUAGUCUAUCAUUCAUAAUAUUGACAUAUGUGCAAACCGCACCUGACUUUUAUCGGUAAAAGAUUAAAAUAUAGGGCAAGUGAUACCUGCAAUUUUUAUCUUAUAAACAGCAUACUUUUAAAUACGACCCGUAUUUUUGGUUUGGACGCGCUUAACUUUUCAAUUUACUCUCUCACUGUCGAAAUUAAUGACUUUUUUCUGUGGUUUUUCGAAAAUUUUUCAGUAGUAGCACGGAGACUGGAAUUGUGUCCAGUCAUAUCCCCUAUUACAUGGGACUUCACUACAUAGUAUAAAACAAAGUCGCUUUCUCUGUCCCUAUUUCCCUUUGUAUGCUUAAAAAUCUUUAAAACUACGAAACGGAUUUUGAUGCGUGCCCUAAUGUGCACCUUUGCCUACCCCUUCUGAGAUAAAAGGCGUGACGAUAUGAUACAAUACUUGAAUUCCUAAGCCUCAAUGUCAGAAUCUAUAUAAUUAUACUAAAUCGUCAUUGGUGAUAACGCUAAAUUAUAGGUUAUAAAAAGAUAUUAAUCAAAUUGAAAGUACCUAUUUGUAUUAUGAAAUGUUUUUUGUAUAUAAUUAUGUAAAACAGAGAUAUUAUAUAGAAAUUAUUAUAAUAGAUUUGUAAAAUCUGCCGCAAAAUGCAAAUUGCUGUAUUCGGAUUCGGAAGUCCCCUAAUUUUUGGUAGUUUAUAAAGUCGUAAAAGUACAAUAUGAAAUUUAUAUUUCGAAGUUAGAAUGUGAAAUCGUAUAUAUGACAAAUAAAUAAAGGUUUAUGGGUAGUUUAUUGGAAAAAAGUAAUAUGCCAAUCCGGAUUUUUGGAUUUUUUACUCAUUAGUUCUGCUCUAAUAAGGCUUACCAUCGUAUUGAGAGCCAUUUAAUGGUCACUCAAGGUAAGCGUCCACAGGCCCACAUCGUACGCAUCGCACGCAACGGAUUUUAAUUCGUCUUGUAUAGAAACUUAUUUAAAUUUUCACUGAGUCUUCUAAAUCAAAAUACUGACUGUAGUUGCCGAAUCUACUGAUAGGUUUAUUGAGUCAAACUGUUGGAUAUUCAAUGAUUUGAUUUUGUUAUUUGUACCCAGUGAUUAGUUUCAUAAGUACAUUCUUAUUACUACUAGUACAAAAAUUAUGGAAAUCGAUCUUUAGGAUUAUUCCUAUACAAUGUGAUAGGCGUGGGUCUUCUAACCCGUUAAGGCUGAGUACUACAUCUAAUUUUAUCGACAAAAAUAAUAAUAUGGGGGUUGAACCCCUAAUUGAAAAUAUUGAAAAAUAGUGAUUUUUUCGGUAAAAAUAAUUCACAAAUGAUUUUUUUUCUCACCAAAACAUUAUCAAACAUAUGAAAAAAGUAAUGAAUUAGUUAGCCAAGGUUAUUAGGUACCGUUAGUCGUUUUUUUUUUGUUUCUACGACGCAUACAACCUUUGAUAUUAAAAAAAGUAAAAAAAAUAUUAAAAUAGCCAUAACUUUUAGGGGAGGGGAUUCGACCACUUCGACCCCCGACUUUUGUCGAUAAAAUUAGGUGUAGAACUCAGCCUUAACGGGUUAGAAGUCUCACCCCUAUCACAUUGUAUAUGCAGCUACUUCAGCGCGGUUUCAUUCACUCUGCUCGGCUCCUAUUGAUAGUAACGUGAUGUUUUAAAGCCUAUAACCUACCUCGAUUAAUUGACUGUCCAACACAGAAAGAAUUUUUCAAAAUUGACCGUUACCGACUGAAGGUAGUUCUGGAGAUCAAACAAACUCUUCAGCUUUAUUUAUAACCGUAGAUCACAAAUCUGCGAUGAGAGAUACUAACGUUAUCCAUGUGUAGGUACGCUUACCACUAAAGGUAAGCGUCCACAGGCUCGCAUCGCACGCAUAGUACGCAUUCCGUAUGACGUCAUCAGUACGCAUCGCAUGUAGGCAUUGCCGAUGACGCGGUCGGUACGAUGCGGAUCAGUGGACGCAGUUGUAUGAGUAAUUUCUAUACAAGACAAACUAAAAUCCGUUGCGUGCGAUGCGAGCCUGUGGACGCGUAGCUUAAAACUAAGUUUUUGUAAGGUAUUUCCUAAAACAAAUGGUGUAUUAUUUUUUUCUGAUCAUGUGUAUUGUAUAUUUAUGAAAAUGUAUUAUUGUUAUUUUUAUUAACGAACGAAAUUAGUAACCGAUCUCUAAUCCAAAACCGAAAUGAUCGAUUCAAGUUUUUGACAUUAACUCUAUAUUAGAACUAGUGUCAAAAAUCUAUCUAAGGCCUUGGUCUCAUUGGUUAGUUGCCCUGCGUUGCGUCCGCGACGACUAGCAAUACAGCGCAACGCACAAUAGGGUAGAUGACUAAUUUUUAUUUUAAUGACCGUCUUGUAGAAUAUUUUAAAACAUUAGACACGUAUUUUUUUUUCUUACGGAAACAAAUACUUUCGAAGAUAUAUCAAUUUGAAAUAUCGCGUGACGUCACUUCUAGGUACGUUUUAUACGUAGAAAUGACGUAUUUGCUCCCACUUCUUAACUUUGAUUCGUUUUAUCUAAGUAUUGUUAUCUUAUAUGACAAAAUAAAAAAUACGUGUCUAAUAUUUUGUCAUUACCUAACUGACGGACUAAAUAGAUUUUUAAUUUUCAUACCCCAUCAUCAUCCCUAUUGGGACCUCACUCUUCCACAGAUUUUGGAUUUGAGGUCGAUUAUUUAUUUCGGUCGUUAUAUACUUAUGUAUAAAAUGCUUGUUGUUGCUCAUGUGAAGUAUGUAUAUAGGGCAACAGGUAAUUAGUGAACGAUAUUUAAACACGUGAUUGUACUCAUGAUUACAAACAACUUUCCCGAAGAAACUUUUUUGUAUACUCAUUAGUUUUAUUUUUAUCACAGUAAUAAAAUAUCGCACGCGUGUGCUUUGCCAUGAUCAGCUGUUAGCAGCGAGGCCCACGCCUGCGUUGUCGGCAGACUAGUAGGUUUUUUGGAACUUUACUUUUCUUUAUUAUAGUGAUAAAAAUAAAACUAAUGAGUAUACAAAAAAAAUGUUUCUUCGCCAAAGUUGUUUGUAAUCAUGAGUACAAUCACGUGUUUAAAUAUCGUUCACUAAUUACCAGUCACCCUAUAGAAUGCUUGUUGAUGCUCAUGUGAAAUAUGUAUAUUAUGCGCAUAUGAAGCAUAUAUUUUAUAUAUUAUGUAAAGCGAAUCAUACAUAACAUGUAUGUUAAAUAUACUAUGUUAGUUAUGCGAAGAAAUAUAGUGAUACUGUAUUUUAUAUGUUGUAAAUGAAAUUAUGCUCGAUCAACGAUUGUGCUAUUUUGAUUUUUAAGUGUAAAACAAAAUGUGAAAUAAAUUAUAAAAAUUGUA